CCCAGGAUGGCCGAGUGGUUAUGGAAUCAGAUUCGUCUAUCUCACUGGUGUCUCUCACAUUCGUUGUUGAAUGAUUUCGGGCCAAGUGGAACAAAUGUUGUACAUAGAACGCAAUUAAGUAUCCGGUGAUUGUGAUGUUUGAGCUUAUAUAUGAAAAAGUUGUUGCAUGUGAUGAAAGGUUUAUUGUGUGUGAGAGAUAUCAGUGAUUUCGAUUGAUCUGCUUCGCCGAGUGUGACGUGGGUUCGAGUCCCACUCCUGGAU